CGUUUUCGCGAGCCGGUCCUCCCACCAUUCUCUCAGCCUCUCCUCUCCCCGACGCCAUGAGAUGCGUUCUCCUCGCUCCCGUGCCCCGCUCGGUCCCCUCGUCCCCGAGCGCGCUGGCUCGUCGUCGAUCUCCUCCACCUCCCGCGCGGCUCCGCCGGCGAGCCCCAACGCCGCCCCCCCUUGUUAGUGCAGCCUCACCGUGCCCUGCUGCAGUCUCGCCAAUCCUCCCCGCGCGAGCACGCGCGCGCCCGCCACCAUGGCCACCCUCGACCCCGCCUCGAGCUCAUGGCCGUCGAUCCUGCCGCCGCCGCAGUAUCGCCCCGACCUCGUCGAUCUCCAAGGCCCGUGCCUCCACGUGCCCUGCUCUGACCUCGGUGGCAUCCUCUGAUCCUUGUCGCCUCAAGGUCGCCCGCGCAGACGCCGCUCUGGCUCCGCGCCGGUCUGCCGCGACCUCCCCAAGCUCGUCCGUGACUUCCGGCCGUCGCCAAGGACGUCAUCGUUCUGCCCCGCGCCUCUAGCCCGCUUGUUUUUCUUCUGCACGGGCGCGUCCCCGUAGAGUUCGACAGAAGUUCCGGUCCAGUGCAUGUCAACGCACGCCUGUCCGCACUGUUGUUCCUCUUGCAUUCUGUGCAAGCAGCAGCUGUACAUGCCUUCACGAGUGCUCGCAGGCGAUCAUGCCUCCGUCCCCGCGUCGUGCUAGACUGCACUUGUGCUCGCGGUUGCAUCCCCUAUGCCACGAGAAGCUUCUUUGUCAACAAUCACAGCGAAUCAGAAGAUCUUCUUCCUGGAUGCAAAGUCCAAGACCCCGGCUUCAUGUUAUUCCUCUUCCACCCGAAGAUCCCGACUUCGACCCAAGACCACUUUGCUUAUUCCCGGAUAGGACGUUGAGUUGAUACGAGCUACACCAAGUUCUCCGGAUGUUCCUCGGCAAUCUUUAUCAGGUAUGAACACAUGUACGGUGAAGAACGACGCUAGCGAGGUUACCCUUCCGGCUUGGCCUGGGCAGGGUUAUGGACACCACUUGGUUAUCUUCAGGACUCCUAGUCCCAUUUGUAUUCUUAUCCGUACUCGGAUGUAUUUGGUUUUAUGUAUGAUUUGGAUCUUUGUAUUGUAUCUAUUUGUAUUCUUGGCUCGUUGGAGUCGUUGUAAUAUAAGUUCUCUUAUGGGCUCUAUCGUGACUUGUUGUACUGAUUACUACUUGUGAUUUAUUCCACAUGCAUCGCGUGCAUGCUUUGGCGUGUAGGAAGCACUUGGUGGUGUGUCUCCUAAAAUUGAUAUUAUGCGGAUUUUGGUGGGAAACGCUUGAAUCCGCAUAGUACAGAUUUUAGGGUGUCACAUUGCCGCUGGUCUGCUCGCCGCUGGCAGCUUGCGUGCAGCCUCUGUGGUAGGGCUUUGAUAGGGACAUGGACGGGGAGUCGGGGAUGGGGAUAAUACGCGAGGUCUGGGUCGUGGAUUGAGCCGAAGGCAAAAAUUGGAACGGGGACAGGGAUUUCCGGGAUGGCCGGGGAUUUUUUUUCAUCCCAGUUCUCUACCAAAUGGGUUAUCGGGGAAACUGGGAAUUUCGAGAUGGGCCGGGAUAAUACUUGCCAAUCCCCGUGAAUACUCUGCUACCAUCGGGACAGACUGCAUUGUAGAGCUGAACCAUCGGGAGGAGAUUAUGUGGCAGCAAAGAUCUAGAGUGCAGUGGCUACAAGCGGGAGAAAAAAAAAUACUCCUUCCGGUUCAUAUUAAUUUACUCUAAUAUGGAUGUAUCUAGACACAUUUUAGUUCUAGAUACAUCCAUAUUGAAGUCAAUUAAUAUGAAUCGGAGGAAGUACUAAGUUCUUUCAUAUGAGAGCUAGUCAAAGGAAAAGGAAGAAUAGGAUAUCACGGCUUAAAAGGCCUGAUGGGACUACUUCCGAGGAUGCUUCCGAGCUAGGAAAUUUAACCACCCGUUUUUACAAGGAGUUGUAUCGGUCCGAGGGUACUAGCAAUAUAGAUGUUGUGCUAAAUACGAUGCCAACUAAGUUUCCUCGGAGGGUACUAGCAAUAUAGAUGAAUGAUGGCCUGGUUAAAAGAGGUGAAAGAAGCUUUGUUCCAAAUGUUUCCAACAAAGGCACCAGGGCCAGAUGGCUUUCCUGCACAGUUUUUCCAGCGCCAUUGGAAUGUGUGUGGUACUGAAGUGACCGCUGUGGUGUUGAGG